CCUACGGGUGGCAGCAGUGAGGAAUAUUGGUCAAUGGACGAGAGUCUGAACCAGCCAAGUAGCGUGAAGGAUGACUGCCCUAUGGGUUGUAAACUUCUUUUAUAAAGGAAUAAAACGAGGCACGUGUGCCUUUUUGCAUGUACUUUAUGAAUAAGGAUCGGCUAACUCCGUCCCAGCAGCCGCGGUAAUACGGAGGAUCCGAGCGUUAUCCGGAUUUUUUGGGUUUAAAGGGAGCGUAGAUGGGUUGUUAAGUCAGUUGUGAACGUUUGCGGCUCAACCGUAAAAUUGCAAUUGAUAAUGGCAGUCUUGAGUACAGUUGAGGUAGGCGGAAUUCGUGGUGUAGCGGUGAAAUGCUUAGAUAUCACGAAGAACCCCGAUUGCGAAGGCAGCUUACUAAACUGUGACUGACAUUGAUGCUCGAAAGUGCGGGUAUCAAACAGGAUUAGAUACCCGGGUAGUC
rnacentral:rRNA from 1 species